GCGUGAGUGGCGGAAUUUGGUAGACGCACUAGCUUGAGGUGCUAGCGGGAGCAAUCCCGUGCUGGUUCGAGUCCAGUCUCGCGCA
rnacentral:tRNA from 1 species